AGUGCUGCCAUUGAAACUAGGAUACACCAGAUGUGAACAGAUAUAGGCAAGAGGUUCCUGGAAACCAGGUGUGGCCAAGAAAAAUGGUAUUUUUGACUGCUUUUACAGGGUGAAGAAGCUGAAGCAUAGUCUAAGGAAGAGGAAAGCCAGAGUUACAACUGAGGGGCAAGGCUAAAGGAGACUUAGUAGACAGGUCAGGUGCUAGGAAAAUUGAGGUGUGUGGGUUGAAUAAAUGAGGCAAUCACUGUGAACAGAAUGCACUGGAACCCUUUUACCUGGCACGUGGUGAUGGAGAUGUGCCUACUCAGUGGAGCCAUGUUCAAAGCAAGGGUCACUCUCUGUGCUGUAAUCAGAUCCCUAUCCCUUGGUGGUUAUUCUGGAUUCUUCCUUCUCCCUCACUUCCACAAUUUGUCAGUCCUCAUAUGCUGUUGAUUCUUUCUUCACAAGAUCACUUGAAUCUGUCUCUUUAUUUACAUUCCAUCUGCCACCAUCCCAAUUCAAGUCUUUGUUAUGGUGUAUUGAUAUUAUCUGUUAAUUUACUCCAUUUCUAACAGGUCACUUGUAUCAAAUAUUCCUCCUCCACUCUAAUAUUCCUACCUACACAGUUAAUCUUCCAACAAAAAUUCUGAUCUGUUGACUACCCUUCCUAAAAUACUUUACAGAUCAGAAAAUUUUCAUUAUUCUUCAUUAGCUACCUAACAGAUAAUAAAGUCUUAAUUGCUAAGUUUGGCAUUCAAAGACUUCUCUAGUGUGGCCCCGAUUUAUCUCUUCUAUUUGUGCAUGAAACCAAUUGCUUAUUUUUUCCUAAAUAAUCCUUGCAUCUUUUUAUCUCAUUUAUGCUUUUGUAUAUUGUUCCCUAGUUUUUAUCUCUCUCCUAUCAAAAUCUAACAAUCCUCAAAUGCCCUCUACUUUCUAAGACAGUUUUUUUUUUUUAUUUUCAAACUAGAACAUCUACUGAACACCAUAGCCUUUAGUUUAUGUUGCUAAAUUAACCACAAACUCCAUAUGGUUGUUUUUGUGUCUAUUUUAUCGCUACAAUAGGUUAUAGGUAUUUGAUAGUAAAGACUCUGCUUUGUGAAUCUUUAUAUCUAUAACUUGUGGUAAAAUGUUAUAUACCUAAAGUGCUCAAAGUAUUUAUUAUAUUUAAUUAAUAUUUAUAUAUCAUAGGACUCUCUCAGGUCCAAAUGACCCAGUGUUCCUAAUACUCUAGUCUUCUGUUACAAUAAAUUCAAUCCAAGCUUGAGGUUUUUUUUAUUUUGAGACUCCUCUAUCCUUUACAUAACUUUAUAAUUACUUAAUAGUUUUGUUUAAUGUGGAAUAUCUCUUUUUUGUUCUGAUAACAUGACAAUGAUUAAAUAUGUUCAUGCAUAUGCUUUACUGGUAUUAAUGUAAUUCUGUGUUGAUGCAAUUAGCUAAGAGAUUAUGGGGGGAAUAUACUAUGUUUUAGGAAUUGAAAAUACCCAAUAAUUGUUAGCACAGGUAGCUACUUAGUUAUAAAUAAAGGAAAUGAGCAAAGAGAAUCAGGCAUUAAGCCUCAUUCACUAGAGAGCCACAGCAGUCAUAGGCUCCCAAAGGGACUAACACAUCCUCGGCCCUUGGGACCUAAUCUCUGAAGAAGGUAGGAAGUAUUGGUUACCAGUAAUUAGCUGGGAUUGCCAAAGGAAGAAUUAAAACAGUAGGGGAAAUUCCUCUUCUAGGUACCUACCUGUACUGCAGAAGCCAAGGUGGUGCAGGAGGAGGUCCUUCUACUUUGAGGCGUGUGCAGUGGGAGCCAUGAUGACAACCAUGACCAGAGGGGAGGUGUCUAAUCUGGGAAAAGGCCAUAGUGGUUAGGGGGAGGGCCUAGCACAAGUCCUCAGAGGAUUGGAAAAUAGAUUGAUUAGUUUGAAAGACACCUGGUCUUUCCCAAGAUCAGGGUAAUAUAAUCAAAGCUUUACAGAGGCCUGUCUCUGUAGCAUACAUUUGUCAUGUGUGCGUUCUCUCCCUGGAGCAGCCAUGCGGGCUCAGCAGCUGUGUGGGUCCAAGCACUGGCCUGGGUACAGCCACACAGUGCCAGUUGGAGCACAGCCAGGAACAGAGACUAAGUAGCCAAAUAGGGACAGAGACUAAACUGGACUAAACUUUGGCAUGGAUUGAACCAGUGGCACAGAAUUUCUGGACCCUGGCCCUUUCUCUGGGCUUGGUGAAGACAAGGCUGGACUUCUUCCAUAAUGGGACAGAGCUGAACUACCCAGCUGUUGUUGAGAUACAGCCUCUGGGCACCUGGGGACUGUCCUUUAUGUUUGCUCCAGCUUCAUUAAAUCUUACCACUACACCUCAUCCUCCCAUGUGAGGUCCCUGAAAUGCUUUUCUGGUGACACCACAAGAGCCUAUUUCCACAGACAACAUGAGUGACUAGAAUACCUAAUACAACUAACCUGGGGUUUAACUUAAGUUCAUGCUCUUCAGUUAUCUUUAUUUUUGUUCAUUUCGUAUUGAUGGAUAAAUGUCUUCAGAACAUCUCUUGAUAACAAAUAGCAAGUAUAUGUUCUAAGUUCAUGCCCAAGAUAUUCCUUUAGGCUAUUUGAGGUAUUUUGCUCGUGUACCUUCAUCUUAAAUGUCUUGGUGCCAUGGCGUCAUUUAUCUUUGUUAAACUACACCAGUGUGUUUGUUAAUUCUUUCUUUCCCAUUAUGUUUUACAUUAAGGUCUAAUUUCUUCUCAAGUUUCCUGUUCUUCCCAAAGCAGUCAAAAUAGCUGACUUUAGAAAUCAGGAAAGGCAAGUAUUUUGCAGAAUUAUUUAGUGGCAAGGUAAUUUUUAUGUCUAAAACAUAGUUUUUAUUUUUAAAAAGAUUAUGAAAAGUAUAACAAGUCACAGCAUCUUAGUGCAACUAUUUGUUUUAUAUGUUACUUUCUUAAAAUUUAGUUUAUAUGGUAACAAUUAUUCUUAAGGCAAGUAAAUACUAAUUUAUUUUAAUGAACUCUCCAUAAUCCUCUUAUCUCUGUGUCCUGAAAAUUUGGCCUAUCAUAGAUUCUGUGCUUGCUCCCUGCACACACAAU